UAGGGAAUCUUCCGCAAUGGACGCAAGUCUGACGGAGCAACGCCGCGUGAGUGAAGAAGGAUUUCGGUUCGUAAAACUCUGUUGUUAGAGAAGAACAGCGCAUAGAGUAACUGUUAUGCGUGUGACGGUAUCUAACCAGAAAGCCAGGCUAACUACGUGCCAGCAGCCGCGGUAAUACGUAGGUGGCAAGCGUUGUCCGGAUUUAUUGGGCGUAAAGCGAGCGCAGGCGGUCAAUUAAGUCUGAUGUGAAAGCCCCCGGCUCAACCGGGGAGGGUCAUUGGAAACUGGUUGACUUGAGUGCAGAAGAGGAGAGUGGAAUUCCAUGUGUAGCGGUGAAAUGCGUAGAUAUAUGGAGGAACACCAGUGGCGAAGGCGACUCUCUGGUCUGUAACUGACGCUGAGGCUCGAAAGCGUGGGUAGCAAACAGG
rnacentral:rRNA from 1 species